GAAAGGCCAGCUCAAUGAUUGAGUCACUCACUCUUAGUUGGUGAGCCUGUCUGGAGGAGGAGAUUUUUUUCCCUGGAUCCUGCAUCAGCUUGCUGGCCAUACUGGAAGAGGAUGGAAUUGUUCUUUCAUCUGACUUCUGAUGGCAGGCAACAUGGCCAAAGGCAACCCAGAAUGUGGAAAAUAUUUCUGGAGGACCUGGCAUCAGGAAAAGUUGGGGGUUAA
rnacentral:lncRNA from 1 species